rnacentral:rRNA from 1 species
UACGUAGGGUGCAAGCGUUGUCCGGAAUUAUUGGGCGUAAAGAGCUCGUAGGCGGUCUGUCGCGUCGGCUGUGAAAACCCGGAGCUCAACUCCGGGCCUGCAGUCGAUACGGGCAGACUGGAGUUCGGCAGGGGAGACUGGAAUUCCUGGUGUAGCGGUGAAAUGCGCAGAUAUCAGGAGGAACACCGGUGGCGAAGGCGGGUCACUGGCCCGAUACUGACGCUGACUGCACGAAAGCGUGGGGAGCAAACAGG